rnacentral:rRNA from 1 species
AUUGAACGCUGGCGGCAGGCUUAACACAUGCAAGUCGAGCGGGGAAAGGUAGCUUGCUACCUGACCUAGCGGCGGACGGGUGAGUAAUGCUUAGGAAUCUGCCUAUUAGUGGGGGUCAACAUCUCGAAAGGGAUGCUAAUACCGCAUACGUCCUACGGGAGAAAGCAGGGGACCUUCGGGCCUUGCGCUAAUAGAUGAGCCUAAGUCGGAUUAGCUAGUUGGUGGGGUAAAGGCCUACCAAGGCGACGAUCUGUAGCGGGUCUGAGAGGAUGAUCCGCCACACUGGGACUGAGACACGGCCCAGACUCCUACGGGAGGCAGCAGUGGGGAAUAUUGGACAAUGGGGGGAACCCUGAUCCAGCCAUGCCGCGUGUGUGAAGAAGGCCUUUUGGUUGUAAAGCACUUUAAGCGAGGAGGAGGCUACCGAGAUUAAUACUCUUGGAUAGUGGACGUUACUCGCAGAAUAAGCACCGGCUAACUCUGUG